rnacentral:rRNA from 1 species
AGAAGCAAUAAUGUUAAUAUGAGUAACAAGAAAUAUUUCUCCUUGCACACGUGUAUAUUAGAUCGGAUGAUCCACUAAUAGUUAUCAAAAUUAAAAUAUACUAUGAAUGAAUUAAUAUUAUUAAUUGUUAACCCAACACAGGAGUGCAAUAUCAGGAAGAUUAAAGAAGUAAAAGGAACUCGGC